AGAGCAGGACAAAUGACCGCUGCUCUGCCUCGUGCAGAGGGGAGGAAAGUCCGGGCUCCGCAGGACAAGGUGCUGGGUAACGCCCAGUCCUGGCAACGGGAAGGAAAGUGCCACAGAAAGCAAACCGCCGCGGCGGGUCUCCCGCCGGGGUAAGGGUGAAACGGUGAGGUAAGAGCUCACCAGUCCUGCCGGUGACGGCAGGAGCUAGGAAAACCCCACCUGGAGCAAGACCAAAUAGGGGAACGGCUGAGGGUGGUCCGCCCAAGUUCCCGGGUAGGUCGCUGGAUCCCGCCGGUAACGUCGGGACUAGAGGAAUGGUCAUUGUCCCCCGGCUCACCCCGUGUGAACCUGGGGAAACAGAACCCGGCUUACGGCCUGCUCUGACA
rnacentral:RNase_P_RNA from 1 species